rnacentral:rRNA from 1 species
UGGGGAAUAUUGCACAAUGGAGGGAACUCUGAUGCAGCGACGCCGCGUGAACGAAGAAGGCUUUCGAGUCGUAAAGUUCUUUUAUAUGGGAAGAUAAUGACGGUACCAUAAGAAAAAGCCCCGGCUAACUACGUGCCAGCAGCCGCGGUAAUACGUAGGGGGCUAGCGCUGUCCGGAAUCACUGGGCGUAAAGGGUUCGCAGGCGGAAAUGCAAGUCAGGUGUAAAAGGCAGUAGCUUAACUACUGUAAGCAUUUGAAACUGCAUAUCUUGAGAAGAGUAGAGGUAAGUGGAAUUUUUAGUGUAGCGGUGAAAUGCGUAGAUAUUAAAAAGAAUACCGGUGGCGAAGGCGGCUUACUGGGCUCAUUCUGACGCUGAGGAACGAAAGCGUGGGUAGCAAACAGG